AUUGAACGCUGGCGGCAGGCUUAACACAUGCAAGUCGAGCGAGCGGCGGACGGGUGAGUAAUGUCUGGGAAACUGCGUGAUGGAGGGGGAUCACUACUGGAAGCGGUAGCUAAUACCGCAUCCCAUCAGAUGUGCCCAGCUGGGUUUAGCGAGUAGGUGGGGUAAUGGCGCACCUAGGCGACUAUCCCUAGCUGGUCUGAGAGGAGGACCAGCCACACUGGAACUGAGACACGGUCCAGACUCCUACGGGAGGCAGCAGUGGGGAAUAUUGCACAAGGGGCGCAAGCCUGAUGCAGCCAUGCCGCGUGUGUGAAGAAGGCCUUCGGGUUGUAAAGCACUUUCAGCGAGGAGGCGUUACUCGCAGAAGAAGCACCGGCUAACUCCGUGCCAGCAGCCGCGGUAAUAC
rnacentral:rRNA from 1 species